UGAGCAAUCUGCCCUUCUCAUCGGAAUAAGCGUUGGAAACGACGUCUAAUGCCGAAUACGACCUCCUUUCGCAUGAUCGGAGGUGGAAAGCUCCGGCGGAGAAGGAUGAGCUCGCGGCCUAUCAGCUAGUUGGUGGGGUAAUGGCUCACCAAGGCGACGACGGGUAGCUGGUCUGAGAGGAUGGCCAGCCACAUUGGGACUGAGACACGGCCCAGAUCCUACGGG
rnacentral:rRNA from 1 species